AAUAUGUACACAUUUUUUUUUGGAAUUUUAGUUUUUUCACAAGUUUUCAUUCCAGUCUUUAGCAUAUUCGAGCAAAGCUUUAUGUUUCGCUGCUGUUCGUCCUUUGCAUCUUCCAUCUCUCAUUCUGGAGCCUGUAGUGUCCCAUCUAAGUUUCUCCUUGGUGCUGUCGUCGAGAGGAGUUGGGAGCCUAUCUGUGUCCGGUGCCGUGUCGCGGGUGGGUGGCGGGGGCUGUGGGACGGCUGAUGGUCCUUCCAGUGAUGGGUCCUUGACGGGCUGUGGUGCCUCGAAAUCAUCAGCCACCGUGGCGGCGUCCUCAGGCUU
rnacentral:lncRNA from 1 species